AUGCCAACAAUAUUUUCAAGAUCUUUCGACACUGAACCAGCAAUGGUGAUAUGCAUGCAAUCCACACUACUGUUCCAAAAACUCAUAUUGUUUGUGGUAUGCCUACUUUUCCUUCAAGAACACGCAGUUAGGUGUGGUGGCAUCUCACUGCAGGAUCAGAGGAUGGCGCUUCUUCACUGGAAAUCUACUCUCCGAAGCUUGCCGUUGCAGAUGAGCUCAUGGAAGAAGAACACUAGCCCAUGCAAGAAUUGGGCUGGCAUCAUAUGUAGUCCCGUGCGCCAUGGCAGCCACACGCCAUGGGUUGUGACCAACGUCUCCCUGGUAAGCGCUGGGAUCCAUGGCCGGCUUGAUGGUCUCAACUUCUCGGCGCUCCCCUUCCUCGCAUACAUUGAUCUCAGCAGCAACAUUCUCCAUGGGACCAUCCCUGGCAGCAUCAACUCAUUGUCAGCACUCUCCUACCUUGACCUCAGCAGCAACUGGCUGGAUGGACAAGUGCCAUAUGAGAUGGGUGAACUGCGGAGUCUCACUGUAUUGGCGCUCCACUCCAACAAUCUCACAGGUCACAUCCCUGCAUCCCUAUGUAACCUGACAAGGUUAACUCAGCUUGUGCUUGGUCAAAACAUGUUCUCCGGGAGUAUCCCAAUAGAGAUAGGAAGGCUCGUCAACCUAGAGAAUUUGCAGUUAAGCAACAACUUGUUGAGCAAUGAGAUACCUAGAACUGUUGGAAACUUGACAAAAUUAGCCCUUUUGUAUCUGUACGGUAAUCAAUUGUCAGGACAUAUACCAUUUGAGAUUGCUGGUCUAUUGAAUCUUACUGCGCUGGAGAUUUCCUCUAACAACCUGACAGGCUCUAUCCCUAUAUCAUUGGGUAAUCUAACGAGGUUAACUCUCCUUUACAUUAAUCAAAACAUGGUCUCAGGUGCCAUACCGGAGGAGAUAGGAAGGCUUGCCAACCUGCAAAUCCUAAACAUCUACUUCAAUAGCUUAAGUGGUGAGAUACCCACGAGCCUUGGGAACUUGACAAAAUUAGAAAGUUUGCAGCUUUGCGGAAACGGAUUGUCAGGGUCUGUACCUUCAGAGCUAGGCAAGCUCAUCAACUCGAAAGAUAUUGAGCUCUUCUGGAAUAAUCUCACCUCUCAAAUCCCCAUCUCAUUAACCAAUCUCACCAUGCUAAACACACUCUAUCUGCAUCAUAAUGAAAUGACAGGGCCAUUUCCUGACGAAAUUGGCAAUCUAGUAAAUCUGAAGCAGUUGACUUUGGCCAGUAACAAAUUUCAUGGCUCCAUUCCCCCAAGCAUAGGAAAUCUUACAAACCUACAAGAUGUAGACAUUAGUGAUAACAAAUUAGCCAAUUCCAUACCCCAUGGACUAUGCAAUCUAGUUAAUCUCCAAUAUUUCCUCAUGUUCACCAACCAGAUUUCUGGCCUUAUUCCUCCCUGUAUAGUAAACCUUACAGAGCUAAUAGAGUUGGGCCUUUCUGAAAAUCCAAUGACCGGUACAAUACCCCAUGAUAUUGGCAAUCUAGUAAAUAUUGAUAUUUUGGGAUUGAGUGAGAAUCAAUUGUUUGGAUCAAUUCCAUCAUCAAUUGGCAACUUGAGCAUGAUGACAGUGUUAACGAUGAACUUCAACCAAUUGUCCGGUACUCUACCUCCAGAAUUUGAAAAUAUCACAGGCUUAGUCACUCUUCAGUUAGGUUACAACUCCCUCUCAGGCCGUUUGCCCUCAAAUGUAUGUAAGGGUGGUCAGCUCGAGAAGUUCGGUGCUGAUCACAACAUGUUUGAUGGCCCUAUUCCAGGGAGCUUGAAGACAUGCACGAGUCUGACUCGGGUUUUACUAGGCUGGAAUCAACUCACAGGAGAUAUAUCUCAACGAUUUGGUGUUCAUCCACGUCUCCAGUUCAUGAACCUAAUGUCUAACAAUCUCACUGGAGAACUCUCACCAAACUGGGGGGCGUGCUUGAACCUAUCUGUGCUCAAUGUAGCAGAAAAUUUUAUCACUGGAACAAUCCCUCCAGAACUGUCAGGGUUGUCCAAGCUAGGAGAGUUAUUGCUCCAUUCCAACCGACUAGCGGGAAGAAUACCACCAGAGUUGGGUAACUUGACAAAUUUAUACAACCUUAGCUUGGCAUCAAACCAAUUAUCAGGAUCCAUACCUUCUGAGCUGGGGCAACUGAGCAAUCUGGAAUAUCUUGACAUAUCUGAAAACAAUUUGAGUGGUCCAAUACCAAAGUCGUUGGGAGGCUGCACCAAACUACUGCUCUUGAACAUCAACAGCAACAGAUUCAAUGGAAAUCUGCCAGAUGAAAUUGGAAAUUUGGCAAGCCUCCAGAGCAUGUUAGAUCUCAGCAACAAUAGACUCGAUGGUGUGUUACCACAACAACUUGGAAGGCUGACGAUGUUAAUAUACCUAAAUUUGUCCCACAAUCAGUUCAACGGAAGCAUUCCAUCCUCAUUCGCAAGCAUGCCCAGCCUUUCAACGCUCGAUGUGUCGUACAACAACUUGGAAGGGCCACUACCAACAGGAGGCCUGUUUCGUAGUGCUUUGGUAGGCUGGUUUCUCCAUAAUGAAGGUUUAUGUGGCAAUCUCUCUGGACUGCCACCUUGUAAUCCAGUUCCUGCAUUCAAUCGUCAUAAAAAGAAGUUGCUUAGUUCCAUCCUGGCGGUAGUCCUUCCCCUGUGUGCAGUUAUUCUUUUAAUAAUUAUUGGCACUACAAUGUUUACCUGCAACAGGAGAAAAUCGCAAGAAAGUGUGUCUAUUGAAGGAAGAGAUGUGUUCUCUGUUUGGAACUUUGAUGGGAGGCUAGCAUUUGAGGAUAUAAUCAGGGCAACGGAAAAUUUCGACGACAAGUAUAUAAUUGGAGAAGGAGGUUACGGCAAGGUCUACAUAGCACAGCUCCAAGAUGGGAACCUGGUUGCUGUGAAGAAACUUCAUCCCACUGAAGAAGAAUUGAUUGAUGAAAGAAGGUUUCAUAGUGAAAUGGAAAUCUUAGCACAAAUCCGACAGCGAAGCAUUGUCAAGCUUUAUGGAUCCUGCUCCCAUCCAGAGUAUAAGUUUCUUGUCUAUGAGUACAUUCAGCGGGGAAGCCUCCACAUGAUCUUAGAAAAUGAGGAACUAGCCAAUGAAUUUGAUUGGCAGAAGAGAGCUGCUCUUGUAGAAGAUUUAGCUCAAGCGAUAUAUUACUUGCACUACGACUGCAACCCACCUAUAAUUCAUCGAGAUAUCACAAGCAACAACAUCUUACUUGAUACAAAUUUCAAGGCAUACGUCUCGGAUUUUGGCACAGCAAGGAUUCUGAAACCUGAUUCAUCAAACUGGAGUGCACUAGCAGGGACAUAUGGCUACAUAGCUCCUGAGCUAUCCUACACAUCUGUUGUGACAGAGAAAUGUGAUGUCUAUAGCUUUGGUGUGCUUGUUCUAGAGGUGGUAAUGGGAAAGCAUCCCAGGGAUUUGUUACAAGCUCUUAUGCCAUCUAUGGAGCAACAUAUACUGGUCAAAGAAAUACUAGACCAACGACCUGCAGCACCAACAACAACAGAAGAGGAAAGCAUAGUCCUUAUUAUCAAGGUGGCUUUUUCUUGCAUGGAAGCUUCUCCUCAAGCAAGGCCAACAAUGCAAGACUUAUACCGGAGACUCACUCAACAAAACAAUUCUAGCUCAUGGUCGGUGCCUUUCAAUGUUCUUACACUUGAGGAACUGAGGGAUGCAUAAUGUGCUUCUAGAGAUUAUUUCUUCACAGCAUUCUCUGAAUAAGUAUUUAGGAUCUGCCGUGUGUUGUCGCCACCAUGCUCCGGUGCUGCAUCAAAGGGAGGUAGGACGGCGAGGCCAGGAGCAUCAACAGGUAGCAUGGCUUAGUUAUUCUGCGCCCAAUUCCUUCAAAGAAAUUUGAACGGUGGAGUUCUGAAAGCUGGGUCUGGGUGUGAGAGCUCAAGAUGUGCGGAUCUUGGGGUGGCCGGAGAUGGAGAAGGGGAC